GGAUUGUGGCUCAGCGGUAGAGCGCUUGCCUAGCAUGUGCGAAGCCCUGGGUUUGAUCCUCAGCACCA
rnacentral:tRNA from 1 species